UGUUGAGGAAGAUAAUGACGGUACUCAACAAGGAAGUGACGGCUAACUACGUGCCAGCAGCCGCGGUAAAACGUAGGUCACAAGCGUUGUCCGGAAUUACUGGGUGUAAAGGGAGCGCAGGCGGGAGAACAAGUUGGAAGUGAAAUCCAUGGGCUCAACCCAUGAACUGCUUUCAAAACUGUUUUUCUUGAGUAGUGCAGAGGUAGGCGGAAUUCCCGGUGUAGCGGUGGAAUGCGUAGAUAUCGGGAGGAACACCAGUGGCGAAGGCGGCCUACUGGGCACCAACUGACGCUGAGGCUCGAAAGUGUGGGUAGCAAACAGGAUUAGAUACCCUGGUAGUCCACACCGUAAACGAUGAUUACUAGGUGUUGGAGGAUUGACCCCUUCAGUGCCGCAGUUAACACAAUAAGUAAUCCACCUGGGGAGUACGACCGCAAGGUUGAAACUCAAAGGAAUUGACGGGGGCCCGCACAAGCAGUGGAGUAUGUGGUUUAAUUCGACGCAACGCGAAGAACCUUACCAAGUCUUGACAUCCCUUGACGAUGCUGGAAACAGUAUUUCUCUUCGGAGCAAGGAGACAGGUGGUGCAUGGUUGUCGUCAGCUCGUGUCGUGAGAUGUUGGGUUAAGUCCCGCAACGAGCGCAACCCUUAUGGUCAGUUACUACGCAAGAGGACUCUGGCCAGACUGCCGUUGACAAA
rnacentral:rRNA from 1 species